rnacentral:rRNA from 1 species
AAAGACUAAGCCAUGCAUGUCUNAGUUCAUACCUCUAUAGGGUGAAACUGCGAAUUGCUCAGUAAAUCAGUUAUCGUUUAUUUGAUUGUACCGAAGCCCUUACAGGCUUCACACUGGAUAACUGUGGGAAACUAGAGCUAAUACAUGUCAACUGCUAUCUCGGGGUAGCGUGCAUUUAUUCGCCUAGAAAACCAACGCGUUGUAAGCUAGUCACCAGCAUAACUCUUGUGACAACGGCUACCACGCUCAUGGUGAUUCUGAAUAACUGAUGCUGAUCGUACAAGCUUUCUGUGCCUACGAUAUUUCAAUCAAAUUUCUGCCCUAUCAUACUCGUUGGUAGUGUAGUGGACUACCAAGGUGACGACGGGUAACGGGGAAUCAGGGUUCGAUUCCGGAGAGGGAGCCUGAGAAACGGCUACCACAUCCAAGGAUGGCAGCAGGCGCGCAAACUAUCCAAUCCAGAUAAUGGGAGAUGGUGAAAGAGACCUAUUGGAACUCAUCGGGUUUGCCGGUCGAGUUACCCGAUAGACCAGAUACAUAGUGAAAUAACAACGGGAGGGCAAGUCUGGUGCCAGCAGCCGCGGUAAUUCCAGCUCCCGUGGUGUAUAUGUANGUUGUUGCGGUUAAAAAGCUCGUAGUUGGAAUACGGUGCGUGCGAAAGAUGGUGUACCGAAUGCGUGUAUNNGAGAUCGGUCUCAGCCCUUCUGUGAUGGCU